rnacentral:misc_RNA from 1 species
CUGUUCGAGCGUCAUUAUGACCACUCAAGCCUUAGCUUGGUAUUGGGGUUCGCGGUCUCGCGGCCCUUAAAAUCAGUGGUGGUGCCAUCUGGCUCUAAGCGUAGUAAUUUAUCUCGCUAUUGGGUCUGGUGGUUACUUGCCAAUAACCCCCAACUUCUAAGGUUGACCUCGGAUCAGGUAGGGACACCCGCUGAACUUAA